rnacentral:rRNA from 1 species
GAUCCUGGCUCAGGACGAACGCUGGCGGCGUGCUUAACACAUGCAAGUCGAACGAGAAUCUACUGAAGGAGUUUUCGGACAACGGAUGUAGAGGAAAGUGGCGGACGGGUGAGUAACGCGUGAGGAACCUGCCUUGAGGAGGGGGACAACAGUUGGAAACGACUGCUAAUACCGCAUGACGCAUAGGGGUUCGCAUGAUCUUUAUGCCAAAGAUUUAUCGCUUCAAGAUGGCCUCGCGU